rnacentral:tRNA from 1 species
CCUGGGGGGGCUCAGUUGGUUGAGCAUCUGACUUCAGCUCAGGUCAUGAUCUCACCAUUCGUGAGUUCGAGCCCCACUUCAAGCU